rnacentral:tRNA from 1 species
GGGGAUGUAGCUCAGUUGAUAGAGUGCUUACCUAGCAUGCAUGACAUCCUGGGUUCUAAUCCUGGCUCCCUA